AUUCCAUGUUGAGGACACCUCUUGAGUGAUCCUUUGAAUCGUUCCCAAGCCUCAUAUAAAGAUUCACUUUCUUUUUGUUUGAAAGUCGUGAUCUCCGCUUUGAGUCU